UACGUAGGGCGCAAGCGUUAUCCGGAAUUAUUGGGCGUAAAGAGCUCGUAGGCGGUUUGUCGCGUCUGCCGUGAAAGUCCGGGGCUCAACUCCGGAUCUGCGGUGGGUACGGGGCAGACUAGAGUGAUGUAGGGGAGACUGGAAUUCCUGGUGUAGCGGUGAAAUGCGCAGAUAUCAGGAGGAACACCGAUGGCGAAGGCGGGUCUCUGGGCCGUAACUGACGCUGAGGAG
rnacentral:rRNA from 1 species